GAAAAGUUUAGGAAUCUGUAGUGAGAAGACCCACAAGCCGAUUCGCGGGUUCCAGGGCUUGGAGGUAGGAGGAUGAUAGUUCUGGAGGGGCCCAAACCACCUCUGCCCCAACUCCCCGACAUCCUCGCCCUGCUGGCUCAUUUGUAGGCACCAGAAUUUUUGGAAAAUACUCCCAAGGCUCCCUGAAUUGUCUCAAAAUCAAAAUGGGAAUGUUCCUUCUUUCUCCUGUCACCAGUCCCUAAUCAAGCAGGUGUCAAGAAGUCCGCUGAAUAGAAACACACACACACACACACACACACACACACACACACAGCAUCCAACCCUGGCAAAAGGCACAACACGCUCACACACAUCCGCAGCAUGUUCGUCCUGCGUUCUGGGCGCCCGGCUGUAAUUAUCUGCGCGCUUUGCAUAAAUCACAAUGCAGUUCUGAAAUCAUCGUGAUGACUUUCUGGCAUGAUUGGUUCGGUGGCAACGGCAGCAACAAGAUCCAGGGUAGGCAGGAGGGGCUGGGGCCCGGCGCCCACCAGCUCCAGGAGGAGCCUGGAGCCGAGCACCCGUGCCUUCUGCUCGCCAGAAACAGUUGUAGGCCAGAGGGAACGCGCAUCUAAGGUGUAGAAAUUUAGGGCUCUUGAUGGCCGAAGGUCAGAGAAGAAAGCUUCUACAGGGCAGGGACUCUUACUUUUCAUCUUCCUAUCCACAGGCUCCAGCAUGCUGCCUGAUUCAUAGUAGGUGCUGCAUAAAUGUUGGUAGAAUAAAUGAAGGAGGAGAGUCACCUGAAGAUUUCCCAAGGGGCCACUGGAGGCACAGCAAGGCUAAUCAUGGAAGCCAGAAGAAGGAGAAAGUUGAUUUUCACUUACUUCCAAGUCAUAAUUCAACCUCUGGUUGGUUGUUGCUUCUCCAGCGGAUGGUGAGAGAGAGAGAAGGUGGGUCAUGGAGCAGGGGCUGAGCGAGGGCUUGGGAAGUGAUGGGAUGAAAGAAACAGUCUCUUCAGGCUUGCUCCUGAUUCUGCUGUGGACCUUUCAACAAACUGUUUGGCUCCUAUCUAACUCUACUCAGAAAAGAAACAUCAAGAACAAUCCAGAAAAGAGACCCAGCUGCUCUAGAACCCAUGGAUACUGAGUUGCACAGUUUUUCCUUGACACUUUCCAGGACUGUGUCGGCUAAGAGUUGUUGUUACUCCUCACCAGUGGGAAGAUGAACACUGUUAAGAGCAACCGCAAUAUGACAAUGCUGUGUGGGAGAGUUCCUUUUUUUUUUUCCUUAACAAAUGACAAAUCGUGUCUCUGCAUUUAUUCACACCCUCCCUCGGGCCACAUCAGCAGAAGUUCAGGUCUGGGGGCUGGCUGAGGAUUAGAGGCUUCUAGGGUCUCAUGGCACUUUGAUUUUCUUCUAGCCCCCAAAAUAAUCAAAUAGAAACACCUUUCCCCCAUCUCUUACUUUAUUUCCUACAUAAACUAUUUUAUUUAUUUAUAUCCUGCCUUGUUCCAGGAAGAAUUUUUCAUGUUUCUCAUGUCAAAUUGCUUUACUUUGGGACCUGGGCUCCUUCCCUGUAAGAUGACUCCCUGAAAUGUAUUUUAAACAGAAACAACUAGAUAUGUUACCAGGAAGAGAGGAGCAAGAAAAUAAUGUAGUCUCUUCUCCCAGGAAGAUAGGUCAACAGAAACAAGGCUGCCUGCUUCUUAUUUCCUUAAUAGGAAGAAUAAAAAGUUCAGAGGUGACA
rnacentral:lncRNA from 1 species